rnacentral:rRNA from 1 species
UACGGGGGGGGCAAGCGUUUUUCGGAUUUACUGGGCGUAAAGGGCGCGUAGGCGGUCUGUUAAGUCGGAUGUGAAAACUCUGGGCUCAACCCAGAGCCUGCAUCCGAUACUGGCAGGCUAGAGUGCGAGAGGGGAAAGCGGAAUUCCUGGUGUAGCGGUGAAAUGCGUAGAUAUCAGGAGGAACACCGGCGGCGAAGGCGGCUUUCUGGAUCGCAACUGACGCUGAGGCGCGAAAGCUAGGGGAGCAAACAGG